UGCGCCACCUCCCAGCUUUCGUUCAUUUUGUGGCUCAGACUGAGGUCCGGUCGGAUAUGGACGUCCACGAGAAGAGAUCUACGCAAAGUGGUAUUCCUGUGAAGAAUGGAGAGAAUUUUGGUCUCCGCUGAUGAGAGAUCUGUUGGCACAGUGAACAUCUGAUGCCAGGUGUGGUGACCCUAAGAUGGACUCACUGGGUUGACGGAUACAGCUAGACUGUGGUGGAAAAUCCAGGUUGAUGCUUUCACUUCACUGGAAUGGCUGGAGGAUUUGCACCAUGUAGUCCUGUGACGUCAACCGUCUAUUACUAUGGCCAGUGUGUGACCCUGAGGAUCUGCCGAUUGGAACCUGUUCUAAGGGGCUUCUAAGAACUGGAAUUGUGGGGAUGAGAUGGAUCAAGUCAAUCUCUUAUCAACUUGUGAACUGGACAUUGAUUAUUAAUCCCUAAAUAAAAGGUGUGCUGAACUGGA